UGGACUGUGUUACAUGUUUAUGUUGGUGUUAUUGGACUGUGUUACAUGUUUAUGUUGGUGUUAUUGGACUGUGGUGUUACAUGUUUAUGAUGGUGUUAUUGGACUGUGGUGUUACAUGUUUAUGAUGGUGUUAUUGGACUUUGGUGUCACAUGUGUGUGCUGGAGUUAUUGGACUUUGGUGUUACAUGUGUGUGCUGGAGUUAUUGGACUGUGGUGUUACAUUUUUUAUGUUGGUGUUAUUGGACUGUGGUGUUACAUGUUUUAUGUUGGUGUUAUUGGACUGUGUUACUGUUAAGGGAAUUUUAAUCAAUGAUGACUAAUUAUGUAUACAUUUCAAUCAGGACUGACUAAUCAGAAUACUAUUAUGUUACUGCAUAUGUACUAAUCAGAAUACUAUUAUGUUACUGUAUAUGUAUGAAUUUUCUUUUUAAUCCUAGUACUGAAUAUAAUGUGUGUAAAUAUAAUCAAGAAUUAGAACAAUGACUGUCUGUUCCUUGGUAGAAAUUAAUGAACUAUAUCGCCAGUCUGGCUAGAAGGCUUAUCUACACAAGCAUGGCCUUGGCUCGGUCAUAUAUUAUCUUAAAUACGGAGAGACUUGUGAGAACCGUACAGCCAUUGUACUACAGCGGAGAUGACAUGAGCUGGUACAGAAACUAAUGACGUCAUUUUAAGUUUAUAACCUGUGGUAAAAUGUGUAAUGGGCAGUACUCACAAGAAUAAACACAGCUGGUUGAUUUCAAAGGCUGGUCUCUGUCCAUUUUACACCAAUAAGGGUCUUACAACCUCAUGAAUUGACAGUGUUUUGAUUUUAAUUGGGUAUUAAAACAGACGAAUUUAAUUCCUGCAACAAUUGGUCCUUCGAACCGAGAUCUAAAUAUCCGUCCCUGCCAUCUGGAGGUUGUACGCCGAGAAAAUCGUGCACGAGCGGGUCUGGUCCCAUUAUUUAAGACCUGGCCUCUGAAUUGAGGGAAAAGACUAGGCCGAUGUACACCCCAGACCGACAGGGACGGUGACUAGAUCCAACGAACAGUGCUUUCCCCAGUCGGCAGCAAGCUCUGCUUUGGGGGCGGCGAUAUUCCCCAGCCUGUGCCCAGGGUCCUUUACCAUCCAGGAUCUCCUCCCAUGUCCAGAAGUCCUGUGAUCGCUGCUGCUCCUGCCCGCUGCCUGUCACCACGCCGCUUGGUCCUGUUGUGGUGGGACAACGAUAAACACCUGCCUCUGAUUGAGAACCACUUCAGGCAACCAUAGACUUUUCUAGAUAACCCUACUAAUUCACAAUCCCAAUACCUACAAAAAAACCAAGACAAAACACACCACAAUAAUAAACCCAUGUCACACCCUGGCCUGACCAAAAUAAUAAAGAAAACACAAAAUACUAAGACCAGUGCGUGACACUAUGCAACAUAUAUUAAAUUCAUGUUAUUGUCAGAUAGAAUACUGAGGAUCCCUGAAGGAAAGAGCUUGUAAGUGUAGGAAGGAUUUUGAAUAUAUUUAGCAUUAAUUUUGGCUUUGUUUGACUAUUAGGAGGUUUUUAUUUAAAUAGUAUUAAAUUUGACAGGAAUAUAUGACAUCUUGAUGAUUUAGGAUUUUUGUAAGGAUUAAGAUAGAUUGAUUAAGGAAAUGUAAGGACUUUAGAGAUUGCCACUUAUAGACAUGUUUUUUCUAAAAUCAAUGAUUUUCGAUAAAGUCAAACAGUGAGAUGUUUAGUGGCAUUUGAGAGAUAGGAGAGAAAGAGGUUACUGUUUAAAUCGGUAAAUAUAUAUAUUUAAGAACAUACAUAAAUAGCACAGAUACUUCUUAAACUAGAUAAGACACUUGACAGAGAAUUGAUACAGGAUUGAUAUUAAUGGAUGCCCAAGGGAGAAUUUAACAUACAUGAUAAUGUCAGAAUAUAAGGAUAAUUUACUAAUCCUACCUAAGUCAUUAUUUAGGGUAUAUAAGGUUGUUACCUGGGCAGAGCCAGGUAUCAAAAGGGGGAUGGGUAAGUUAGUGGCCUAUUGGAUAAUAAACUAAUAAUAAAAAAUGUUUCGCUAACAAAUAGGCAUAGAAGUUAAAGAUAUAAUCAGAUAAAACAUAUGAGAAACUGUUUGUUAACCAAGCCUGUAUGUCCAGGAUUUUAUGCAUUACAGGUGAACUGCAGGUGAAGUCACUCAAUCCAGUCCCUGAGGCUUGUUGGGGGGACCAUACCAAGGACUCCCGGUGACAGCUAGCUGAAAGAGCUACCCGGAUUCAUAUCACACGGAGGGAGGGUAGGACACAUUGACACUGUCGAACAAUAAACAGUGUUUGAGAGGAGAAGUGGAAUUAACAGAAUUCCAGGGGCCAUCUCUCAAAUGAAGUAAAUCCUUCUUGUCCUAUCACCCCUGUUUUUGUUCAUAGAAGUGAAGGUGUGUCUGGCUCUUGCUAGUGAUGUGUUCUCGGGGAGAGGGUGGGGCUUCACAUGGAAGCUGUUCGUCUGAGCUGUCUUAUCGUGGGGGACAUAUUCCUGAUACAGCACGUCCUACUUGAGUAUGCGGAGAGUGGUAAUUUGACCCAUGGUUUAGACGAUGAGGAUUUUGUUCCAAAACAAGCAUAAGAGAUCCCUAGAUCUGGGUGGACAGGAAGUUAGAGUAGAGGUUGGGAAGGAUCUCUCAAUGGAGUUUUAUGUAGACCAAAUGGGGUCCCUAACUACAUGGCAGUCUAGGACUCUGAGCCAUUAUGGUAUAUAUCGGUGCAGGUCCCCAUAUUGAUCAUGGACACAGGUCAUAGCUCAUAUGGAGAGAGAGGGCUAUAUGAAUCCACUCACCCAGUAUGGAAGGAGGUGGAGUAUAGUGAAGGUGAGAGUUUUUGACUGUAAUCCGGAGAGAGGGAUGUAUUGCAUAAAGAUAUGCCUUACCCUUUAAACAGUAAUGAAGGAGGAUCUAGGGUUGUGGUAUGAUGGAUAUGACCAGUUUUUGGUCGACACCCUAGUACGGUUCCGGGUAGAGGAGGUUAGGCCAGUAUGGUAAAGCUGUUCACGAAAGCAGGAAUGCCAGAUAAUGACAGUUGCAUUGAUUUGCACUAUUUAUAUCCACAGGUUCCUCCCUUUACAGUGACCGGAGGAGAUUAUUACCGUUUGGCCCGGUACAGUACUCUUGGGAAAUGAUGUCAAGGCGAGGUUUUACCGGCAGAUUGGACAGGAUUAUGCUCCCUUAUACAUUUGGGAAUGCCUUUCACACUCAUUCAACACCAAGACAUGAAGUUUAGCCAAAUGGGAGAAAAGAGCUACUCCAUCCGGGUCUCUUGAUGACAAAGUAUACAUUGAUAACAUUGGGGUUCCACGGGGGGUGCAACAUGAGUUCAAAGCAAGAAAUCAGAUCCUAGCAGGAUUAGAGUUAAGCAUUUCCGGGUGGUCUACUCUCAAUAAGAACGUGGAUUGGAUUAAUUAUAUUUAUUAUAAUCAACAGCGCUUUAACAAUUAUACCAGAGAUGCUAUUAAAGGUUUUGCAGAACAGACUGAAGCAACCAGCCUGAUGGCUUGGCAGAAUAGAAUUGCAUUAGAUAUGUUAUUGGCUGAAAAGGGAGAAGUAUGCGUGAUUUUCGGGACCAUGUUUGUGCUUACAUCCCAAAUAACACAGCUCGGGACGAAUCAGUGCCCGAAGCCUCAGCUGGUUUGACCACCCUGGCUCACGGUUUGGCUGAAAACUCUGGGGUGGAUACUUCUCUGACUAUUUGGUUGAUAGUAUGUUCGGAAAAUGGAAAAAUAUUAUGAUCACUGUAUUAUGGGCUACAUUCACCUGUGUGACUGUUUUAGUUUUAUGGGGCUGUUGUCUAAUUCCCUGUGUACGAGGCCUUAUUUCCAGGACUCUGGAGAAAUUGAUGACAAUAGAUGGUGAGGUACCAGCGGAUUCUAGGUUCUGACCCGUGGAGUGCUGAAUGCAUGUCUACAGAACAAGUGGACGAAUCUUGAUCCUUCAUUUGCAGGGAAUUUAUAUUUGAUGAGACCAUUUUUGAUGUUUAGGGAGGUUUGGUUGUAUCCUGUUUCAAUAUUAAACUGUUUUUUAAUGAAGAUUGUAACAAAAAUCCUGAUAAGAAGAGUUAUGAUUCUGAUGUAGGCCUAAGAAACAGUCAUGGCGAAUGCAAGUAGUGGGUUAUGUUUAGGUGAUGUUUUGAUGACAAGAAAUAUUUCUAAUAAAAAUAGAAAUAGGCUCUUUAAUAUUACAAUAUAAGUACAUGUGUGAUUGUAUGUAUUAUAUUUAAUCAAAGGGUGGAUAUGUUAAGGGAAUUUUAAUCAAUGAUGACUAAUUAUGUAUAUAUUUCAAUCAGGACUGACUAAUCAGAAUACUAUUAUGUUACUGUAUAUGUACUAAUCAGAAUACUAUUAUGUUACUGUAUAUGUACUAAUCAGAAUACUAUUAUGUUACUGUAUAUGUAUGAAUUAUCUUUUUAAUCCUAGUACUGAAUAUAAUGUGUGUAAAUAUAAUCAAGAAUUAGAACAAUGACGGUCUGUUCCUUGGUAGAAAUGAAUGAACUAUAUCGCCAGUCUGGCGAGAAGGCUUAUCUACACAAGCAUGGCCUUGGCUCGGUCAUAUAUUAUCUUAAAUACGGAGAGACUUGUGAGAACCAUACAGCCAUUGUACUACAGCGGAGAUGACAUGAGCUGGUACAGAAACUAAUGACGUCAUUUUAAGAUUAUAACCUGUGGUAAAAUGUGUAAUGGGCAGUACUCACGAGAAUAAAUGCAGCUGGUUGAUUUCAAAGGCUGGUCUCUGUCCAUUUUACACCAAUAAGGGUCUUGCAACCUCUUAUAAAUUGACAGAGUAUUUGAUUUUAAUUGGGUAUUAAAACAGAGGAAUUUAAUUCCUGCAACAGUUACAUGUUUAUGCUGGUGCUAUUGGACUGUGGUGUUACAUGUUUAUGCUGGUGUUAUUGGACUGUGUUACAUGUUUAUGCUGGUGU